CGCUACGGUGAAUACGUUCCCGGACCUUGCACACACCGCCCGUCAAGCCAUGGAAGCCGGGUGUACCUAAAGUCGGUAACCGUAAGGGGCCGCCUAGGGUAAAACUGGUGACUGGGGCU
rnacentral:rRNA from 1 species